GGGAAAUGCCGGCGAAAACGGAUUCUUGUGUUUUCAUGUGGCAUCAACUCUAAAUAGAUUCUUUUGUAAUGGUGACCGCUCGUCCAAGUUCCAACUUUUUUGUUACAAAAAACCAAUACCUACUUCUAUUUCGUCAUGACAGAAGCUCGACUCCAUGGUGUUUCUGAGACUGAUGUCGACAUUUCAGUCGGUUCCUAUUCUGAUGUCGGCCCUGUCAUCUGACGACAUAUUCCGGCACCGACGGCAGCAGAUGGGUAUCUUGGACUGGAUCAAAUCUGACUCUAUUCA